UGCUAGUCGAGCGGUAGCACAGAGAGCUUGCUCUCGGGUGACGAGCGGCGGACGGGUGAGUAAUGUCUGGGAAACUGCCUGAUGGAGGGGGAUAACUACUGGAAACGGUAGCUAAUACCGCAUAACGUCGCAAGACCAAAGUGGGGGACCUUCGGGCCUCAUGCCAUCAGAUGUGCCCAGAUGGGAUUAGCUAGUAGGUGGGGUAACGGCUCACCUAGGCGACGAUCCCUAGCUGGUCUGAGAGGAUGACCAGCCACACUGGAACUGAGACACGGUCCAGACUCCUACGGGAGGCAGCAGUGGGGAAUAUUGCACAAUGGGCGCAAGCCUGAUGCAGCCAUGCCGCGUGUGUGAAGAAGGCCUUCGGGUUGUAAAGCACUUUCAGCGGGGAGGAAGGCGUUAAGGUUAAUAACCUUGUCGAUUGACGUUACCCGCAGAAGAAGCACCGGCUAACUCCGUGCCAGCAGCCGCGGUAAUACGGAGGGUGCAAGCGUUAAUCGGAAUUACUGGGCGUAAAGCGCACGCAGGCGGUCUGUCAAGUCGGAUGUGAAAUCCCCGGGCUCAACCUGGGAACUGCAUUCGAAACUGGCAGGCUAGAGUCUUGUAGAGGGGGGUAGAAUUCCAGGUGUAGCGGUGAAAUGCGUAGAGAUCUGGAGGAAUACCGGUGGCGAAGGCGGCCCCCUGGACAAAGACUGACGCUCAGGUGCGAAAGCGUGGGGAGCAAACAGGAUUAGAUACCCUGGUAGUCCACGCCGUAAACGAUGUCGAUUUUGGAGGUUGUGCCCUUGAGGCGUGGCUUCCGGAGCUAACGCGUUAAAUCGACCGCCCUGGGGGAGUACGGCCGCAAGGUUAAAACUCAAAUGAAUUGACGGGGGCCCGCACAAGCGGUGGAGCAU
rnacentral:rRNA from 1 species